UCCAGACUCCUACGGGAGGCAGCAGUGGGGGAUAUUGCACAAUGGGGGGAACCCUGAUGCAGCGACGCCGCGUGGGUGAAGGAGCGUUUCGGCGCGUAAAGCCCUAUCGGCAGGGAAGAAGGAGGACGGUACCUGACUAAGAAGCCCCGGCUAACUACGUGCCAGCCGCCGCGGUAAUACGUAGGGGGCAAGCGUUAUCCGGAUUUACUGGGUGUAAAGGGGGCGCAGACGGCAGCGCAAGCCAGGAGUGGAAGCCCGGGGCCCAACCCCGGGACUGCUCUUGGAACUGCGCGGCUGGAGUGCAGGAGGGGCAGGCGGAAUUCCUGGUGUAGCGGUGAAAUGCGUAGAUAUCAGGAGGAACACCGGUGGCGAAGGCGGCCUGCUGGACUGCGACUGACGUUGAGGCCCGAAAGCGUGGGGAGCAAACAGGAUUAGAUACCCGCGUAC
rnacentral:rRNA from 1 species